GACGUAGGGGACGAGCGUUGUCCGGAUUCAUUGGGCGUAAAGCGCGCGUAGGCGGCCACGCAAGUCGGGUGUGAAAUCCCGGAGCUCAACUCCGGAACUGCACUCGAAACUGCGCGGCUUGAGGUAGGUAGGGGAGAGUCGGAAUUCCUGGUGUAGCGGUGGAAUGCGCAGAUAUCAGGAGGAACACCGAUGGCGAAGGCAGGUCUCUGGGCAUUAACUGACGCUGAGGAGCGAAAGCAUGGGGAGCGAACAGG
rnacentral:rRNA from 1 species